CUAUGCUUUCUGACCAACUUUUUUUUUUUUUUUUUUUUUUUUAUGAUUUGUCAUUGUUGAGAUGGGACAAAAGUCACAUUCAGACUACGUCACAUGUCGGUGGUGUUGAGAGGCAAGAGGGGAUCCCUCGUUCCCUCUUCCCAAAUUUCUUCUCCUUUGCUCUUCACCGUGCCCUGCAGUCUCUGUUCCACUGUCCUGUCCGUGCGUCCCGGGAAUAAAAGGAAUGACCAGUAAAACCCCAGCUGGCGGGGAGCAGGGCGGUAGUGUUUCCGUGUGUGUUGUCGGGCAGGGAGGGUGACGGUAGCUCCCAGAUCCUGGACAGGAAAUACCACAAGCUUUUGUCCCUUCCGGGCACUGGGCGCAUCCUGCUGCCCGCAGGGGUGACGAGGGACACGGACCCAGCGGAGCACUGCCCAGGCACAAAUGCCAUUCUUAGGAAGUAAGUGUCCUUCGUGCCAGGCCGGCCGGGCUGAGGCCUCUGCCAGAUGCUCGAAAUGGGACAUCAGUGGUGUCCUGGGAAUCUAAGGAUUGAAGCUAGACUCUGUUACCGUUGCAGCCCCACAGCGGACGAGAUGUUCACUGACCUCACGGCCACGGCGGACACGCAGAGGCUGUGUGAGAGCUUCUGGACGCACGGAGUGGCGGGCAGAAUGGGAGACCAGCGCGUGCGAGUCGAGGCUCCUGGGGCUGAGAUGUGCCCGCCGCCCUCACCUCUGGGCCCCCAUCUCCUUUCUGAGUCAAGGAAAUUGGUGGUGCCCAGUGCCCACACUCCACAGCGUUGGAGGAAUUCUAGGACCCAUGGAGCUUCAGGGGCAUGUGGGGGCGUGAGACCGGGACGUCCAGCGGGACCGGGCCUGUGGGCUGUGGCUUCAGUGCCCGAACAUCCCUCCCACUGAGGGAGCGAGGGCUGGGCUGGGCAGUGACCAGGCACGCCUCGGUUGGCCGGGACUCGCUGAUCCGCGUGCGGAACGUCUUUCCCAGCAGCACCCAUUAGUAGACCGGACAGCAAGGUGCGAUUCCUCUUGUUCUAGGACAGCUGAUUGCGAAGACAGGUGGUAUAAUGUGUUUGAUAAUUUGAAUUAAAGUAAUAGCAAUAAUACUAAUAGC
rnacentral:lncRNA from 1 species